CAAGGUCUGUGCUUUCUGUACCACCCUACUUCUAAAUAAAGCAAACUAUCAAUAACUACUAGCUACUUUUCAGGGUCAUUACAGAGAGCAAACGAGUUACUAUUUGCAAAAGUAAUACAUUUUGCAAUGGAAGACACACUGUGCAAAUAUUAUCUUACUACCAUUACCAAAUAAUUCAUUAUGUGACAGUUAGAGACAUAUACUAGAACCAAGACAUGAACUGCUAUGGAGGAGGGUGGAGAGAGAGCCGAGACCCAUGAGAGAGAUUUGGCAAGGAUUCUUGGAGGAGCUGAGGCAAUUUGGCCUUCAGGAGAGAAGGAGGGAAAACUGGAAAGGCCUCCCUGUGGCAACUGAAGCUGGGUGUGGGGCAGCAGACUAGAGCCCACCUACCUCUCAGGCAGUCAUCUUCUCUUGGAAGAAACACUCCUCACUGCUCCAGCCCAGCUCCUGGGGCCUGACCUCUUUUUCAAGCCUGCUUAUCGGGCCUGAACUCCUCCAGCUGGAUCUUGUUUUUUAUUUGGCUCCUUCUUUUCAGCUGUUUCUCUUUCAGUCCUCUCGUCUUGAUUCGUGAAAGGGAACGUAGCCAAGCCUCAUCCUCCUGCCCAGGACAAGGCAUAGAGAUUGUAUUUAGGCAUGAUGGACCUACGUGGGACAAAAGACAGGUGUCCAUCACUGGACUUCUGGUAGAGGUCUCCUUUGGGAGCCACUGAGCCUCCUCUAAGUGUUUGGAAUUCAGAAAAACAGGACUAGAUAACUCAACAUGUGUAAACAAGAUGAAGAGAGAUUUCAGCAGGAUGGAAAGGGACAGUAUCGUUUUCCCGGGUAGUAGCUGAAAGCAAUCUGGGUCUGGAGGUGGCACCCCCUCCCCUGAGCAACCAUGGUUGACGUCCUUUCCAUUUUAAGCAAUUGAGCUACCGGCGGGGCUGUAGGUCAGGCCCCACAUGUUACAUAGCUUUUAUCCAGCUAUGAGACCCAGCAUGUAUAGGGCUAGAAAUCCACCCCCACCACCACAUAAACAACUAAAACACCGCAGAAACUUUUCCCCAAAUUCCCACGCCACAAAUCUGGGGGUAUGCUUCCACCUCCAGGAGGAAGCGGCUUCCUGGAAGGCUGAAGGAGAUGAAAAAUGCAAAACUAAUCCUCCCUUGCCCACUCUCACACCACCGCUCGGCCUGCCUGCCCCCCUUCCCACCCACAACCCCUCCUAUUCCCCAAGGGGUGCCAUUUGGGAACCAAAAUCCACUUCGUCAGCGCAAGAGCAACCCUGCCUUUUCUUGCUCCACACACCAUGUGACACUGGAGAACCUCCAGGGCAUAUUUCAUCUGGCAUCAACAACUAGAGGUCACCGUGACCCAAAACUUCCUGCGUUCUCAGGCCUGGCAACGCCUGCCAAAGCUAGCCAUGGUGGGGGUAGGGGAGCGCCGCUUGUGGGGAGCUGACCAAGUGUGGUGUCGGCCGCCCUGCCUGCCAACAGACAGCAACACUGGUUUUCCACUGCCGGCCAUUCAUUGGACUUGGACAGCUUUGUUCCUUCUCUGGGACCAAGUCAACAAGCUGGGACCAGAGGAGCUGCGGCUGUAGCACGCAGGGCCUUCCUUCAUCCCCUCAACCCUCAGCUUUGUGGCCUCUAUCUUGGACUGUCAAAGGCCAGUUUAAACAAUGGUCACACAGAGAUUCACACUUCUCGCAAGCCCCAACUCAAUCUCCUGCCAUGUUUUUCAGCUGUCUGAAUCGUGUGCACGGUUGUGGGACAUUUGGACUACAGAUAAGAAAAUGUGGCACAUAUACACCAUGGAAUAGUAUGCAGCCAUAAAAAAUGAUGAGUUCAUGUCCUUUGUAGGGACAUGGAUGAAAUUGGAAAUCAUCAUUCUCAGUAAACUAUCGCAAGGACAAAAAACCAAACACCGCAUGUUCUCACUCAUAGGUGGGAAUUGAACAAUGAGAACACAUGGACACAGGAAGGGCAACAUCACACUCUGGGGACUGUUGUGGGGUGGGGGGAGGGGGGAGGGAUAGCAUUAGGAGAUACACCUAAUGCUAAAUGACGAGUUAACGGGUGCAGCACACCAGCAUGGCCCAUGUAUACAUAUGUAACUAACCUGCACAUUGUGCACAUGUACCCUAAAACUUAAGUAUAAUAAUAAUAAAAAAAAAGAAAAAAAAAGGAGAGAUUAAUAACACAUAAAUAGCCAACUGGUGGAGCAAAACUCUCACAACCAGCCCAGGACCACCUGCCACUUGAUUCGUAUGUACGAGAGAAAUAAUUUAUCUAGUGUAUUCUAUUUUUUAUUUUUUCUAUUGCUCCUGUAACAAAUUACCACUGUAUUAGUAGCUUAAAACAACUUGAAUUUAUUUUCAUACAGUUUUGGAUGUCAGAAGUCCAAAAUUCAAGGUGCAGGACUGCUUUCUUUCUGGAGGCCCUAGGGGAAGAAUCUGUUUCCCUGCUUUUUCCAGUGUGUAGAAGUCACCUACAUUCCUUAGGUCACGGCCUCUUCCUUGCAUUACAGCAACCUCUGCUUCAGUCAUCACAUUUUCUUUUCUGACUCUGCGCCUCCUCCCUCUCUCAUGUGAAGACUCUUGUGAUUACAUGGCGCCCACUCAAAUUGUUCAUGAGGCUAUUUAAAACUUAUUGGAGAAAGGAGUAUAGUAUUGCCAGAAAAAAAUCCAAGACAUCCAG
rnacentral:lncRNA from 1 species